CCUACGGGAGGCUGCAGUGAGGAAUAUUGGUCAAUGGGCGAGAGCCUGAACCAGCCAAGUCGCGUGAGGGAGUACUGCCCUAUGGGUUGUAAACCUCUUUUGUCGGGGAGCAAAAGCCGGACGUGUCCGGCUGUGAGAGUACCCGAAGAAAAAGCAUCGGCUAACUCCGUUCCAGCAGCCGCGGUAAUACGGAGGAUGCGAGCGUUAUCCGGAUUUAUUGGGUUUAAAGGGGGCGCAGGCGGAUUCUUAAGUCAGCGGUAAAAUCGGGGGGUUAAACCCCAUCCAGCCGUUGAAACUGGGGAUCUAGAGUGUGCGAGAGGUAUGCGGAAUGUGUGGUGUAGCGGUGAAAUGCAUAGAUAUCACGCAGAACCCCGAUUGCGAAGGCAGCAUACCGGUGCACAACUGACGCUCAGGCACGAAAGCGUGGGUAUCGAACAGGAUUAGAUACCCUUGUAGUC
rnacentral:rRNA from 1 species